rnacentral:rRNA from 1 species
GCGACGCCGCGUGUGGGAGGAAGGCCUUCGGUUGUAAACCACUGUCGGUGGGACGAGCCGGGUGUCGUCGAACAGGCGGCAUCUCCGACGGUACCACCCAUAGGAAGCUCCGGCUAACUCCGUGCCAGCAACCGCGGUGACUGAGCGGGCUGGCAAGGCGCAUA